CCAAGCCGUGGAGAGGAGAUGGGGAGCCUCCCGCUGACUGGUCCGCCCGGCGGGUCACCUGGCAUCACGUCCAAUCCGUGACCUCCUCCAACUUGCCUCCUUCACCAUGCUCUCAGGAGCCACUGAGAUGAAGAGCUAGAUGGACAAAGAGACUACGAGAAUGGAGGACCGCAAACUGCCUUGACAGCCACCCUGUUUCUUCCAGAAGCCAGCGGAUUUUGAGAUACAUCCAUUGGUAAAACACUCGUCACGGGCAUUGCUUG